CGUGCUAAUCUGCGAUAAGCGCCGGUAAGGUGAUAUGAACCGUUAUAACCGGCGAUUUCCGAAUGGGGAAACCCAGUGUGACUCGUCACACUAUCAUUAACUGAAUCCAUAGGUUAAUGAGGCGAACCGGGGGAACUGAAACAUCUAAGUACCCCGAGGAAAAGAAAUCAACCGAGAUUCCCCCAGUAGCGGCGAGCGAACGGGGAGGAGCCCAGAGCCUGAAUCAGCAUGUGUGUUAGUGGAAGCGUCUGGAAAGGCGCGCGAUACAGGGUGACAGCCCCGUACACAAAAGCGCAUGUGCUGUGAGCUCGAUGAGUAGGGCGGGACACGUGGUAUCCUGUCUGAAUAUGGGGGGACCAUCCUCCAAGGCUAAAUACUCCUGACUGACCGAUAGUGAACCAGUACCGUGAGGGAAAGGCGAAAAGAACCCCGGCGAGGGGAGUGAAAAAGAACCUGAAACCGUGUACGUACAAGCAGUGGGAGCCCCACCACUAAGCCAGUGGUGAACUCCACAUACGCAUCCUUUGCUGAGGAUACGGUUAACGGAGCGAAAGCGACGUUCAACCGCAAAAGAAGCAGAGGGGGCUUAG
rnacentral:rRNA from 1 species